rnacentral:lncRNA from 1 species
GAGUUGUUUCAGAAAUGACAAGAGGUGCCCUCCUUUGUGAACAUAUCACCAUCGGAUUUUUCCAUGAGGCCUUGGUGCAAACCUGCUUGAUUCCAGAACUCUUGUGUACUACAUGCCUGGAAAGUCAACACCACAUGGGCACUGCUUCCUGGCUCUACUGCAAGCUCCAGGGGUGUAUCUUUGCUGCUAGGGGAUACGAUGGGAAGCAAGGAUGAGACUCUACUGGUAUAAAGUACAGCUGGAAAGGACCCAGUUGCCUAGGGGAUGUUCCUGUGUGGCCCAUCUCUUCUUCAGGGAUGCUGAAGAUGAAACAAAUGGAGGAGUUGGUAAGAACAGUCUUAAGGAUAAGUAAGAGGCUACUCAGACUGCUGUUUCUCAGACCGUCCCUCUUCAGUACAUGGAGUCAAAUCACUGUGAUAUGGCUACUACCUGUGUGGG